rnacentral:rRNA from 1 species
AACGAACGCUGGCGGCAGGCUUAACACAUGCAAGUCGAGCGCCCCGCAAGGGGAGCGGCAGACGGGUGAGUAACGCGUGGGAAUCUACCCAUCUCUACGGAAUAACGCAUGGAAACGUGUGCUACUACCGUAUACGUCCUUCGGGAGAAAGAUUUAUCGGAGAUGGAUGAGCCCGCGUUGGAUUAGCUAGUUGGUGGGGUAAAGGCCUACCAAGGCGACGAUCCAUAGCUGGUCUGAGAGGAUGAUCAGCCACACUGGGACUGAGACACGGCCCAGACUCCGACGGGAGGCAGCAGUGGGGAAUAUUGGACAAGGGGCGCAAGCCUGAUCCAGCCAUGCCGCGUGAGUGAUGAAGGCCCUAGGGUUGUAAAGCUCUUUCACCGGUGAAGAUAAUGACGGUAACCGGAGAAGAAGCCCCGGCUAACUUCGUGCCAGCAGCCGCCGUAAUAC